AUCGAUCGAGUCGAUGACGGUGCCCCGAAAGGGGUGAAACGGGAAAGCGGUGAGGGUUCGCCCGAAGCCGCUGCUGCCCCCGCAACUGUAAGCGGUGAAGCGCCCGGUCCAUGAGCCACUGUUCGCGAUGCGAAUGGGAAGGCGGACCGAGCUGAGAACCGCGAGCCAGGAGACCGGCCGCCAUCAUGCGCAACCG
rnacentral:ncRNA from 2 species